AGCCCUCUUAAAGAGAAUGAAAGAUAUCACGAUUUAGAUUUUACAAAAAUGAGAAUAGUCGGAGACAAUCAAAGGUGUGUGUGUGUUUUCUUUGAAAGAAGGUAUCUUUCAAAGUCUAUGGGAGAGCACCCUUAUAUCCUCAAAAUUGUUAAGAUUGUGCUGCUUCAUAGUCUCCAUUUGUCUCUAUCGCAAGAUUUUUUUUUAACUAUAUACCUCCUCCUUCACCUGUCCUUUGCCAACAUUUAUUACAAGUGAUAAUAGUACUGCUCUCCCAUGAGUAUGUAGUACACCUCUAUCUCAUUAUACAUCCCCAUCUUAGAAAUCUGUGUGUGGCCGACAUCACAAAAGACCAUAAUAGAGUUCGUUGCCAUCCGUGCAGGGCAAUCACCCUCUUAUAGAAGCCAACUGUCUAUGAAGGAAGACUGUUCUGGACCAGUGGGCCAGGGGAUGAGAUAUGUUCUAGGCAGCAGUGUCUUUCAGCAACAUCACAGAAAAGGCUUUAGAGCUAAAUCAUAAGUGUGAACACCAGAAUUUAAAUUUGAAUCAUUUUCCCAACUACAGAAAUGUUCCCAUGAGCUUGAUACUCUGGAAGCCCCGCAAGGCCUCCUGAGUGUGUGAGAUUUGGGUUACGGUGGGCAAAGUUGAGGGUUGGAGUUAGAAGAAGAAUGAGGCUCAUCUGAGGUAUUACUAGAAGUCUGUCUUAUCACUCUGCUCUUCAAAUGUGUAGCUUUAUGCAAGUUUGAGAUGUACAGUCAGGGCUUUUUUUCCCUCUAAAGUUUUUUUUACAUGUAAUGAUAUAUAGUAGCUGUUGUUCUUCUUUCUCUUUUAUUAUUCCUUUCUUUGUGUGUAUGUCUGUGUGUGAGUCUCUCUCUCUCUCUCUCUCUCUCUCUCUCUCUCUCUCUCUGUGUGUGUGUGUGUGUGUGUGUGUGUGUAUGUCUCUGUGUGUAUGGCUGUGUGUAUACAAGACUGGGUAUACCAUGGUAUAUAAGUGCUCACGUAGAAAUGAGAUCAGAAGACAACUUUGUGGCAUUAUUUCUCUUUACACAGUUUCACAGAUUCCAGGAAUCAAAUCCGGGUUGCUAAAACUAAGCAUUUUAAACUAAGCAUUGUUUUCUGCUGACCCAUCUUGCUGCCUCAAGCAGCAUGUUUUCUGAUGGGAAUCCAGUUUGUGCUAUGUCUGACAGGAAUUAUCCAAUAUACAAUGUUAUCUCACAUUGCACUGGCACCAAGACAUCCCUACUAAUGUGAGAGACAUCUAUAGAGACAUCUAUUUCACAUCAAUUUAGAUGCAAACUAAAGCACAACCAGUUUUUUUUCUUGCAGAUAUGACCCUGGUCUUACAUUGUUUUAUAGCUGUUUUUAAUUUUUAUGUGAUGAUGUGUG
rnacentral:lncRNA from 1 species